GAUGAACGCUGGCGGCGUGCCUAAUACAUGCAAGUCGAGCGAACCGGGGACGGGUGAGUAACACGUGGAUAACCUCCUAUAAGACUGGGAUAACUUCGGGAAACCGGAGCUUAUACCGCAUCUUAUAGCUGGUUCCGUUCUGCAUUAGCUAGUUGGUAGGGUAACGGCUUACCAAGGCAACGAUGCAUAGCCGACCUGAGAGGGUGAUCAGCCACACUGGAACUGAGACACGGUCCAGACUCCUACGGGAGGCAGCAGUAGGGAAUAUUCCGCAAUGGGCGAAAGCCUGACGGAGCAACGCCGCGUGAGUGAAGAAGGUCUUCGGAUUGUAAAGCACUGUUAGUAGGGAAGCGGUACCUAAACAGAAAGCCCCGGCUAACUACGUGCCAGCAGCCGCGGUAAUUC
rnacentral:rRNA from 1 species